CCGACGUGGACAUCCAGGGAGUUGCUUUCCUGGCUCUGUCCUGGUGGCAUAUGGGAGCGUAGCCUUGAGCUAAGACGUACAUUCCUGUUCCACGCCGUCGAAGACAAAGUUCUGUCCCCGACUUCUGGUCGGUGAGGACGAGCAUUCUGCAUAUUCCUACAACUUCCCAGAGUCCUUUUGGGCAGUUACUGGGGAGCCAAACCAUGCAGUGUACAUUA